CCAAGGUGCUAGUACUACCAUAGAGUGAUAAACAAUUGGGUUGGGAAAAAGCUUUGCCAUUCUUAAGCUUUAUAAAAUACUUGGGAAGUGAGGUUUAGUGUAUUUCGGUAUUGGAGUUAGACCAAUCCAUAAGGUCAACUAAGAUCCUAACUUUGAGUAUUUCAGUAUUGGAGUGUUCCAAAUCCCGUCCUUGUUCUCAUAUCCCGGUGUUG